UUGUACUUUCUGGUGUUGUGGUACCAGAGGUUGUACUUUCUGUUGUGGUGCUUUCUGUUGUUGUUGGCUCAGUUGUUGUGAUAUCUGGUGGUGUGGUAGCUGUGGUGGUGCUUUCUGUUGUUGUAGUAGUGUCUGUUGUGGUGCUUUCUCUAGUUGUGGUAUCUUCUAUAUUUGUGGUUUCCAUUGUUGUACUUUCUGAAGUUGUGGUACCAAUGGUGCUGAUUUCUGUUGUUGUGGUCACUAUGGUAGUACUUUCUGUAGUGGUGAUGACUUCUGUUGUUGUGCUCUCAGUUGUAGGGGCACUUUCUGUUGUAGUAUCUGUUGUGGUGCUUUCUGUUGUUGUAGUGUCUGCUGUUGGACUUUCAGGUGUUGUGAUUCCGGUGGUUGUACUUUCUGUUGUUGUCUCAGUUGUGGUGCUGUCUUUUGUCAUUGUCGUCUCUGCUGUUGUACUUUCUGGUGCUGUAGUGUCUGCUGUUGUACUUUCUUGUGUUGUGGUACCGGUGGUGGUGCUGUCUGUUGUUAUUGUUGUCUCUGCUGUUGUACUUUCUGGUGUUGUGGUACCAGAGGUUGUACUUUCUGUUGUGGUGCUUUCUGUUGUUGUUGGCUCAGUUGUUGUGAUAUCUGGUGGUGUGGUAGCUGUGGUGGUGCUUUCUGUUGUUGUAGUAGUGUCUGUUGUGGUGCUUUCUGUAGUUGUGGUAUCUUCUAUAGUUGUGGUUUCCAUUGUUGUACUUUCUGAAGUUGUGGUACCAGUGGUGCUGAUUUCUGUUGUUGUGGUCACUAUGGUAGUACUUUCUGUAGUUGUGGUGUCUUCUGUUGUUGUGAUCUCAGUUGUGGUGGCACUUUCUGUUGUAGUAUCUGUUGUGGUGCUUUCUGUUGUUGUUGGCUCAGUUGUUGUGCUUUCUGGUGUUGUGGUACCUGUGGUGGUGCUUUCUGUUGUUGUAGUGUCUGUUGUGGUGCUUUCUGUAGUUGUGGUUUCCAUUGUUGUACUUUCAGAAGUUGUAAUUCCAUGGGUGGUGGAUUCUGUUGUUGUGGUCUCUGUUGUUUUACUUUCUGAAGUGGUGGUGCCACUGCUUGUACUUUCUGUCAUUGCAGUGCUUUCUGGAGUUGUGGUACCAGUGGUGGUGAUUUCUGUUGUUGUGGUCUCUAUGGUAGUACUUUCUGUAGUGGUGGUGCCUUCUGUUGUUGUGAUCUCAGUUGUGGUGGUACUUUCUAUUGUUGAGCCUGUGGUGGUGCUUUCUAUUGUUGUGGUCUCAGUUGUGCUGGUACUUUCU
ensembl:lncRNA